AUAUUAUAUAUUAUAUGAUAGGGUUAAUGUGUUAAUAAUCACCUAACCUAUACCUUGAAUCUACACCCCCUAACCUUCUAAAUCAUUGACCCAUAACCCAUAACCCUUCUAAAGACAAAAUGUGAUUUAUUCCCAUUGCUCUGCAUGUCAAAGUGAAGAAAUUCAACCAAGCACGGGUAAACAACGUGAGUAACUAUGGAUGUCUUAAGGUAGCCAUAUGCCUCAUCAUCUAACUAGUGACACACAUGAAUGGAUCAUUAACAAGAUUCCCCACUGUCCCUAGCUAUUAUAUUGUAGACAAACCACAUCCAAGGGAAUGGGCUUAGCAGAAUUAGCGGGGAAAUAAGACCCUGUUGAGCUUGACUCUAGUCCUACCCCAUUCAUAGUUUGGGA
rnacentral:ncRNA from 1 species